rnacentral:rRNA from 1 species
CGUAUCACUUAAAGCGAUUCAGCGGGUUACGAUUGACGGAGCGAAGCGACGUCAAAGCGUAUACAAAGUCGAGUCGGUUUAAGGAUACGUUCGUUGGGUAGGGGAGCGUUCUGUAAGCCUGUGAAGGUGUGUCGUGAGGCAUGCUGGAGGUAUCAGAAGUGCGAAUGCUGACAUAAGUAACGAUAAAGCGGGUGAAAAGCCCGCUCGCCGGAAGACCAAGGGUUCCUGUCCAACGUUAAUCGGGGCAGGGUGAGUCGACCCCUAAGGCGAGGCCGAAAGGCGUAGUCGAUGGGAAACGGGUUAAUAUUCCCGUACUUGGUGUUACUGCGAAGGGGGGACGGAGAAGGCUAUGUUGGCCGGGCGACGGUUGUCCCGGUUUAAGCGUGUAGGCUGGUUUUCCAGGCAAAUCCGGAAAAUCAAGGCUGAGGCGUGACGACGAGGCACUACGGUGUUGAAGCAACAAAUGCCCUGCUUCCAGGAAAAGCCUCUAAGCAUCAGGUAACAUCAAAUCGUACCCCAAACCGACACAGGUGGUCAGGUAGAGAAUACCAAGGCGCUUGAGAGAACUCGGGUGAAGGAACUAGGCAAAAUGGUGCCGUAACUUCGGGAGAAGGCACGCUGACACGUAGGUGAAGUGAUUUACUCACGGAGCUGAAGUCAGUCGAAGAUACCAGCUGGCUGCAACUGUUUAUUAAAAACACAGCACUGUGCAAACACGAAAGUGGACGUAUACGGUGUGACGCCUGCCCGGUGCCGGAAGGUUAAUUGAUGGGGUCAGCGCAAGCGAAGCUCCUGAUCGAAGCCCCGGUAAACGGCGGCCGUAACUAUAACGGUCCUAAGGUAGCGAAAUUCCUUGUCGGGUAAGUUCCGACCUGCACGAAUGGCGUAAUGAUGGCCAGGCUGUCUCCACCCGAGACUCAGUGAAAUUGAACUCGCUGUGAAGAUGCAGUGUACCCGCGGCAAGACGGAAAGACCCCGUGAACCUUUACUAUAGCUUGACACUGAACAUUGAGCCUUGAUGUGUAGGAUAGGUGGGAGGCUUUGAAGUGUGGACGCCAGUCUGCAUGGAGCCGACCUUGAAAUACCACCCUUUAAUGUUUGAUGUUCUAACGUGGACCCGUAAUCCGGGUUGCGGACAGUGUCUGGUGGGUAGUUUGACUGGGGCGGUCUCCUCCUAAAGAGUAACGGAGGAGCACGAAGGUUGGCUAAUCCUGGUCGGACAUCAGGAGGUUAGUGCAAUGGCAUAAGCCAGCUUGACUGCGAGCGUGACGGCGCGAGCAGGUGCGAAAGCAGGUCAUAGUGAUCCGGUGGUUCUGAAUGGAAGGGCCAUCGCUCAACGGAUAAAAGGUACUCCGGGGAUAACAGGCUGAUACCGCCCAAGAGUUCAUAUCGACGGCGGUGUUUGGCACCUCGAUGUCGGCUCAUCACAUCCUGGGGCUGAAGUAGGUCCCAAGGGUAUGGCUGUUCGCCAUUUAAAGUGGUACGCGAGCUGGGUUUAGAACGUCGUGAGACAGUUCGGUCCCUAUCUGCCGUGGGCGCUGGAGAACUGAGGGGGGCUGCUCCUAGUACGAGAGGACCGGAGUGGACGCAUCACUGGUGUUCGGGUUGUCAUGCCAAUGGCACUGCCCGGUAGCUAAAUGCGGAAGAGAUAAGUGCUGAAAGCAUCUAAGCACGAAACUUGCCCCGAG